rnacentral:lncRNA from 1 species
UUUUUUUUUUUUUUUUUGGUUAAAAACAUACAAGUUAUACUAGUUGAGUUAUAUGUUUAGAUGUGUAGUGAAGAAAAAUAUUUAAUAGAAAAUUAUUGAUGUUAAAUAGAGAUUAACCUAAAAAUAAAAAUGUUACAACCACAAUCACAAGGGACACCAACAAACCCUAGAUUAUUCAUCAUUUCACAUGCCAUGGAUGAGCUAUAAUAAUUUCCCUUUAAAGUCAAAUUAUAAGCUUUGACUUUGCCCUAAAAAAAUCCCUAUUUGCAAUUAUAUAUAUAUAUAUAUAUAUGGUAUUACAUUUUCUAAAAUCUUUAAAUCAAUUGAUUGGGAAUAUCUUAAUAAAGUAUAGCACCAAAUAUAGCCUUUUCCCCAAUUUGAUUAUUAAACUAAUGCAUGCAAUUAAACCCAUAAUGUUCAUCAAUUUCCUUUGCCUUUCUUUUAAUUAACAUACAAUAAUUCACAAAUUCUUCACAUAUAGUUGACUUUUCUCCCCCACUUUUUUCACUUUGUAAUCAUCAAAAUUUAGUAAAACUAUUUUACCCAUAUGGAAUUGUUUUGGUAAUAAUUGCUUUUUGAUCAAUUACUUUAGUAGAAAGCAUUAUUUCUCAACAAUAUCAUGAAUUCCCCUUUUUGUAGCAAAAAGAGACCCAAAAAGAAACAUAUACAUUGAAGAUAUUCUCUCUUCUUCCCCUUUGAAAUGCCAAUCAUAACUAUAUAUAUAUAUAUAUAUAUAUAUAAUGAAGCAUACAUGCAUGCUUCCUUUUUCCAAUCUUACAUUCGAGAGUUUAAUAUUUUAGUCUUUAUACUUUCAAUAAUAUAGAUCUAUUACGUGAUUAAAUGUUUUCGAUAAAGUAUAAAUGAUAAAAUACAAUAGAAAAAAAAAAUGGAAGUGGUGGGUUUUUUGAUUAAGUGUUUCACUUUUAGGGUGUUUGUGUGUUUAUGAAAUUAGCAUGUGAUGUCUCUUCUUGGAAAAAAGGCUAUGAUUACAUUCCCAUUUUACUCCUUCUUCCCCAUUCAUUACUCAAUUCCUGUUUUUUCACGUCAUUACAAACUCUAACUCUUUGUUUUAUUUCUCACGGGACAACUCAACAGGCUUCUAUAACAUUUGAGUGUCAAGAAAACUCGUAAGAAAUUAAUUUUUAUACAUGAGAUAUUGAAAUUAUGUCUCCCUUUCUAUCACUAGGCCAAUUCAUGAUAGUUCUAGUUCAGAAUUCAACGAGUUUAUUAAAAAUGAUAAUUUGAAAAACACGAAAAUAUAUUUUACUACAAAAGUUAAUAUCGAGGGAAGAAAUAUCAAACUUCUCUCUUUAAAUUUUUAAUUUAAUUCACAAAAAUACAUCAUCUAAAAAAAAGUAGUAGAAAUUAAAGUUAGAAGAAAAAAAAAGUACUUUUCAAAGCUCAAACCAUAUUUAGCGUUUUUAAAAUACACACUCACAUGACUUAAAAGAAAGAAUAUGUAUAAUUUGUAGCUUUUGUUAAAGAGAAAUAAAUUAAAGAUUAGACAAUAUUGAUUUAUUUAGUUUGGAGAUUUGUGAUCUAAUUAAUCAUAUUAUAUAAUAAGAGAGAGAGAGACAGAAGUCAAGUGUUACGUAGUUGGAUUAGUCUAAUCAUUUUCUAACGACUUUACUAAUCACUUUGAUUAUAUUAGAGUUUAAUUUCCAUUAAUUUAUUUCAUUCAUUAGUCAAGAUUCCUCAUUUCUAGGCUUAUAAAAAAAAAAUACACAAAUUUAUACACUUUGAAAAUCCAUGUGACCCUUUCUAGUCACAUUUAUUUAUUUUACUUCUUCUAAAUAAAAAUAAUAAUUAAGCUUCACUUAAAUCAUUUUCAUACAAAAUCAAAAUUAAGAUCAAGCUACAAUUAUUUAAUAUAUAUACUAAAUAAAUAUUUAUCUAAUUAACCAAAUAGAUAAAAAAUUUAGAGUUUUAAUUUUAGUCUCAGAAUUCUCAAUAAAUCUUAAACUUAGUCUCUACUAAUUUUUUUUUCAUGUAAUUAAAAUAGGAUAAGUUAAUUGAGGAAUUAAGAAGGUAAUAGGUAGGGGUUGAAGGUGUGGAUGCAAGGUGUGGUAGAGAAAAGAUGAAGCUUCAACAUCCACCAUAUGCUAAAGAGAGAAAUCCUCAUUAAUGUCAUGUGAAAAAGAGGAAAAGGAAUUGAGUAAAGAAUGGGGUUUUAAAGUUAGGUUGGUUCAUGACUACAUGGAUUAGUUAUUGCAUAUAGGGGCCAUUUUUGCAAUCAAUUUUACCCACAAAAAUCUUCAAUUCUCUAAGUGCCCCCAUCCUACUUAUAUAUAUAUAUAUAUAUCUCCAUUGUAUUCAUAUCAAAACUUUACAUUACUUUCCAAAUAAAUAGAUCUUCAAUAUAAAUAAAAUUGCUUUUGGAGCAUGAUGGUAUUUUGUAAAAUUAAUUGCAUUCUUUAUAGUGAUGCAAAAUCAUUUAUGGGCCUUUGUGGAGGAAUAUUGCCCACUUCUUUAAGGCCCACAAUCCUAAGCCCAACAAUGAUUACAAGAGGGAGAAGGUGAAGGUGAAGGUGAUGGUGAUGGUGAUGGUGCAGUGUGAGUACUUAAUUAUAAAUAUAAUAAAAUAGAUCCGAUUUUAUUGUCAUAGAUUACUAAUAAAUUAUAAAAGUUUAUCGCUAUCACUCAUAUAUUUUACUAUAUUUAUAUUUUUUUAAAAAAUGUUAUUAUAUAUUUAAUUAUUAUUAAUAAAAUUGUCACAAAUUAUAAUUACUCUUAGUUAGACGGAGUGAAAAAUCUAAUUAAAUAUACCUUUCUUUUAUCAUUUUAUCGCGUUAGGAAUGACUAUAUUCGUUUUAACACGAUCACAAUUGAUUUUUUCAUAUAGAGAAAUCGUAACAAAAAAAAGUAAGUUCGUGAUAGGAUUAGUACUUACACAUGACCAUCCCUAAAAAUGAUAAACUUUAUGUAAAUAUCUCACAUCAAAGAUUCUAAAAACGUCGAUAAAAUAUAUAUACAAUGAUAUUUCAUUUGUAACGUAAGAAAUUAUGGUUAUAAUUUAUAGUUUGGUAAGAGACGAGUGAUUUGUAUAACUGUAUAAUUUUUUUAAUAAGAUUUGAACACAUACCUUAUACCUCAUAGCUAUUUUAGGCCAUGAAAUGUUACUCUAAGCAUUUAGAAAUCGUCAACUCCAAGAGCUUGACGAGGCAUUUCAUAAGCGUCUUUGGGACGCGAUUUCUUGAUUCCGGCCACAAACCAGACCUUCUCCGACUUGUAACUCUCGACGGAGACGGUGGUGACUUUGGUCCACACCACAAUUUUUGUCUUCAUUCCUUCAACGGAACUCAAUUUCCCUUUCGCCAGCUUCGCCUUUACGCGAGUAGCGUAUCUUACGAUUGACGAGUCCUUGAAGCUUACCUCGCACGCCGACGCCAAAUGCACCACCAGUUUCCCCUUCGAUUCAUCCAAUUCGUAGCAGAUUAUGUUCUUUGGGAAUAAUCCCGCCGGAAGAUUGUGCUCUCGGAGUAGCUCCGGCAAUGAUUUCUGCGGCUUCCCUUCUCAUCGGCAUCGCCAUUGGAAACAAAAAGGUUGGUAAUGUGUUUUUUCCAUUUCAUUAGUAAUUUAAUUAACAAAUCACUAGAUAAGUAGCCCAAUUUAACAUUCAAUCACCAAAUUUAACAUCAUAUCAUCAAUAAAUCCAAUCUAUCAAAACUUCAUUUAUCUUGUUAAUUUAAUACCUUUACUGAAACCAGAACUUUUAUAUGUACCUUUGAUCUUGUCAAGUACCAUUUUUGCCUUGUCCUCUAUAGUAUUGGAGAAUGACUGAAAUCAAAUCAUAAUAAUGUAACAAUUUAAGCUAUAAAAUAUAGAAACAAAUUAACUACAACAACUUUUUAUAUAUAUACAUACUGAGAGUUGAGCAGUGAUGGUGGUGAUCUCUUGCUUUGCUUUCUUUGAUAUCCAAAAACUCCCAACUUUUGCCAUUGUCUUCUCCAUUAUUGUUAAUUUUCUCUCUAAGCUUAAUUAAUUCCUCAAUAGAAAAGAGAAAACUCUCUUCCUUCCCAUAUAUGUUAUUGGAGCUCUGUCACUCUCAUCCAACCAAUAAAGCAUCCAUUGAUGCUCCUAAAUCCUAUGCUAAUAAUUGUAUCAAUAUUGAUGUUUUAUCUAGAAAGCUAUGUUUAAUGAUAUCCGAUCUUUGGAUAUGAAGUGGAGAGUGAUGGAGGUGGUUUGAUGCUUCAAGAACAAAUAUUCAAAAGCAAAAUGGAUACAUACAUAUAGAUAUAUAAUAAUGGGAAUGAAUUAUAAUGCAAGAAAUGAUAAAUGAGUCUGAUGACACCACUUCAUCUAAUCAUUUCAUCAACAUUGUCAUUAAUUAGUUUUAAUCAAAUCCUCUCUCUAUAUAUCUUGUCUUUGAUUAAAAUUAUCACAUCUAAACAAAACUAAAGUUUGAUUGUCUUCACUUGAAGUACUCACAAAAGAAAAACACCAUUGAUUGUGAUUUCUAAAGUUGGAGAAUUGAAUAUAGAUGGUAAGAAUUAAAGGUUUUAUAUAAGUUCUGGACCGAUUUAAAGAGUCAAAUUCAACAUAAACGGAUGUAGGAGAGGUCUGCUAUUUAAAAAAAGAAAAGAAAAUGAGAGAAAGUGUUCAAAGUUCCAUGAAAUGAAAGGAUUGACAUUAUUGUCCUUUCACAUUUCAAUAAUAAUGUCUUUGGGACCUUAACGGGGGAUUGGAUUGCUCUUUUUGUAACCUCAAUAUGAAGCUAUUAAAUAACCAUAUUCAAUUGUCUUUUUCAUAUUUAACACUUCUUCUUAUAAAAAUUGUAAUAUAUAUAAUACCAAUUAUUUAAUUCAUUAAUGAAGUGUUAAGUAUUUAUUUAUUAAUUGAAAAAUAUAUAUUUUUUCCUAAAAUUUGUUUAAGAAUUCAGUAUUUCAAGAAAAUAUAGUUUGAAAAGUGAGAAAUUGAGAAUAAGAAUAGGAAUUUUAAAAAAGAAAUGAACUCAGUAUCUCAAUCCAAAAGGGAUAGUUAUCUCAAUUCAAAAGGGAUAGUUACAAAUUUAACCAUCAGAUGUAAAAUAAUUAAGUAUAUACCAACAUCUUAAAAAAAUUGUAAAUAUAGCAAAAUUUUUCAAAUUCUAUCGAUCAUAAAAAUCUAUCGAUAUCGUAAAUAUUUGUAAUUUUUUAAAUAUUAUUAUAUCUUUCAUUAUUAUCACUCGUUUGAAAAUGAUUGUUCUAAGCCCGAUACAACCCAACGUGAACCGGCCCAGUACUUUUGGGCUUAACUUUGUUGAGGAAUUUCAAAUUUCAUUUUUCUGAUUUUUAGCAUUUAUUUAAAUACUUUAUUUUACUGAACAUUGAUAAUCAAUAUAUUUUUUGUUUUAAAAACUCUAUUUUCUCUAGUUCUCCAUAAUUUGUGCAUGGGUAAGUACACAAUACUAGAAUAAUGGAGAAUGAAAUUAGUAUAUUAAUAAUUAGAAGACAAAACAAUCCACUAUCAAGGAACCAUUCUCAAAGAUAUUAUUUUGAAAUUAAAGAAAAAGUACCAAGAAAAGAUCAACAAAAAAAUAAAGUUAACAAAAUUAAUUGAAAAAUUUGUAAUGAUCUAACAAAAAUGUGGGUUUAGCUUUUAUAUUCAAGGUGAGCGCAAGAGAAUAAAAAACUUUUUAACUUUUUAAUCUUAGAUGUUGGAUUGAUAUUAGAUGUUGGAUGAGUUAUAUGAAUUAUGGUUGAGCGAAAGUGGGGAAUAGAAAGUGUUGGGAAUAAGUUUUGAUAUUUGAAUAGAGAAAUAAAGAAAAGAUGAUAAAGGGUUUAGUUGAUAGGUAGAAGCUUUGUUUGAAGUAAUAAAAAAAUCCAAAAAAGUGGACAUUAAAAUCGGAGAGAAGGAAAGAAAAAGACAAUAUAAAUGGUAACAAACAGUCUCCCUGUCCCUUCCAAUGGAAGUUUUGUUCGUCUUUUUCCAAUUCCUUUCUACUCUCUCUCUAAAUCUUCCUAGAAAAAAUGGCCCAUUUGCCCAUUACCCUUCUUCUCUAUCACUACCAGAUCCAAAUUUCUUAUUCUUUUUUCUUUUUUUUCUUUUUUAUCUGAUUUCCUUUUCCAUCUAAUUCUUCUUCACCCAUUCCCCACCACUUUCCCCUGAUUUCUCCUUCAUGGGUCGUCUCUUUUUCUCCGUUUACCAGGUGAUUCUUUCAUCUUUUUGCUUUCUUUUCUUUAUUUCAUUGAAUUUCCUUCGUGGGUUCUGUCGAUUGAGCUCUGAGAGCUCUUCCCCUUUUCUCUAGAGUGGAUUUCAUUUCUGGAAAUCUUCUUCUCCGCCUGUGACUCUGAGUGCCCAGAUUUUGACAUGGUUGACCUCAUUUCUUCCCAUUUCUUAUGAAAUAUCUUAGCAACUUUGUGUGUUGAACUUGUUUUUCUGCAGUCUUUGUCGUCUUCUUUAUUUAAGUGCAAGUUGUUUAGGGAGAAGUUUUCAUUUGUUCUUUGGUCCUUUUGUGUUCAGGUUCUUCAAGCUUUUAAGGUCAUCGAGAUGAAUUUCAUUCUAUUAAAUGGAGUUAACAGUGUCACUUCAAUGUGAAAUCUCGUUACCAUUUUUGGGGGGAGCUCUGCCUGAGGUAGAUUUUAAACUGAUUAACUGUACUCGUCCCUUUUGUGGAUUCGAUCCUUGUGCAGACUCUUAACUUUUGCAUAUGAUUCUUCUCAAUUUAUUAUGCCUUACAAAAUGUUAUCAUUGACUGUAUAUACCAAAAGUAUAAUGUUGGAAUUUGAAAUUAUAAAUGGUUUUGGUUGUAACUUAGAAAGUUUUAGCUGGAGUUGAUCAAACCAAAGUAUGCAGUUGAGAUGUACUCAGUAAGUUAAUUAGGUAAUUCUGUUAAAUUUUAUCACGAGCCUACUUGUACCAAUUAAUUCUUGCUGUCCUUUUGUCCUCAGGUCCUAAUCUGCCAGAAUAUCCGGUAAAGCUUUUGUGUUAUUUAUGGAACUUCUUGGUAUUGGAGCAAAUAUGCAGGGUUCUGGCAACUAUCCAAAUUUUUAUUUCAGUAGGGAUCUAAAAGGAGUUGUUGGUGGAUGUAUAUGGCCUCAAAUUAGUGAGGAUAAAAUGCUGAAUGGUGGACGUAACACCAAAAGUUUCUUAUCACCAUUGUCAGCUGGUCUGUAUGUUGAAUGUGGCCGAGAAGCACUAAAGCAGAUAAUGCUUAAGCAAGAAGCGAUUUUUAGGGAUCAGGUAUAUCCUUGGUAUGCAAUUUAUCUUUUGGCUUGGAAUCAUUAUGGAAUCAUGUAUUAUUAUUAGCGAAUCCUACUAUGUAUUUGCAAUUGUUUGCUUCUUUAGAAAUCUGAUAUUCUUAAUAUUCGUAAUUCUGAGCUUAUAAAUUCAUCUGAAGUAUUAAUAAUCUGUUCAGAUUUAUGAACUCCAUCGCCUCUACAAAAGACAGAGGGAGUUUAUAGCUGAGAUGAAGAGGGAAUCUCGUAAGCAUGAUAUGUGCAUCACUACAACUCAGUCUGAUUUUUAUAAGUCUCGGGUCUCUGCAUUGUGUGCUCAGGAUGCACGUAACUUCUCUGUAUACAGUCAAUUAUUUAUUUCAGGUGAAAAAACGACCUCAUUACUUUCAAGGUUAGGGAAGAACACUCAAACAGGUUCUGACUCUCCUCUGAAUGGAAUGAGUUCUAAGAAUCCUUAUUAUUCAGAAUCUAAGACUAAGAUUUUGAGGAAAGGGAUGUUUGAUCUUGAACUUCCAACUGACAGAAAUUACUUGAAUAGCCAAGAUGAAUUGACAAAUGUGUCUGAGAUGUCAAGCUGUCAUCUCAAGAGAAUGCCUGAGAUUGUUCAUAUUAGUGAUAGACAAUUCAAGUAUGAUUCAUUAUUAAAGAAAACCAAGGUCUCGGUUGAUUUAAAUAAUCCUCCUAACUCUGCCGAAGAAUCGGCCUGUAGAUCCAUUGAUUCAGUGAAUGCUUCUGGCCACAGGGAGAUCCUUUUCCAUGAUUUAUAUGGCAAAGCCAAUUCGAAGUUGUUUGGUUUCUCAGAGCAAGAUAGCAAUGGCAGAAGGAAUGGACUCUCUACCAAUGGCUAUUCUGAACCAAUUAGCUUUUAUGACAGAAGCCAAAGAUAUCAACCCAACAAAGAUAUUGCAAAUUCAAGUCUGUCAUCAUCCACUACAUCUGUGACAAAAUCUGCACAAGGCCCUAUAGGACACCAUAUUUUAGAUACCGAGAGUUCCAAAAUGUUGGUAGAAAAUGCAAUGCUUGCUGAAGUUGAUCUCUGUUGUGUUAAGAACUUGAGGCCUAGCUUUGGGUCUGAUAGUGUCAGCCCUGUCGAAGGAAGCUUCUGUAACAGCUCCAAGUCUGAGAUAGUGAAAGAAGAAGCUCGCCCAUUGUUCAAGGCUUCUGCAAAUUGGAUGGAAGGUCAAAUUGAUCUCAACGUAUGCAUAAACGAAGAGUUUUUGGCAACACCUUGUUGCUCCACUGAAAUGAAACUGGAGGUACCCGUGAGUCCAGGAAAGGAAAACCACUCUUCAACUCCAGGAGAGUUUGGUGAUAACCGGGUGGAGUCACAUUUUCUAGAGUCAGUUGGAAUCGAAGAUGAUGGAAAAUCGUUGGAGGACCUCAGUACGAUUGCAGCUGAAGCUUUGGUUUCUAUUUCAUCAUCUGUGGCUCAAAAUUAUCAUAAAAUCACCGGUUGUUCGUCUGUUCAACCUUCAUUUGAAUCCUUAUGCUGGCUUGCUGAAAUAGUUUCUUCAAUAGGAGCUGAUCCAGAGAAGGAUGAAUUAGCCUUGAAAUGCAAGGAUACUGACUCAGAGGAGCUUUUGGCAGAUUUCAUGGAUGAAUUUGAGGUCAUGACACUGAAGUUGAAAGAAAUAGAAGAAAAAGGGUGUUCCUUGACAGCAAGUAACCACCAAGUGGACGCAUUAAAAAACGUUUCUUCACCUUCAUGUCAACCAGGGAAGGGGCGUGCAAGGCGGGGUCAGCGCAAAAAUUUCCAGACAGAAAUUCUUCCAAGUCUUGCAACUUUGUCGAGGUAUGAGGUUACAGAAGAUAUUCAGAUGAUUGGAGGCCUGAUGGAAGUAGCAAGUUCUCAUUCGAUCGCCGGUGUAACGAAAACUACAUGUAGAGGUAGAAUGACAGGGACGAGAGGGAAGAGACGGUUGUGUGAUUCAUCUUCAAAAACUACAGAGACUGUUAUAAGGUCAACCACGGAUCAAGUAAGCAGUGACAAUGAACGAGAGAACAAAGAAAGAAAGGUAAUAGUUUGGGGAAAUAUUACUCGGCGACGGAGAGGGCAGAGAUAUCCUGCUCGUAAUAGAAAAAUUAUCUUAGGACAAGUAUAGUAUAGUUGGACUUGUCUUGAGAAGUUACUUCAAAUAAUUAUAUGUUAUGUGUAAAUUAUGCCGAGUUCUGUUCUACACUCCAUCUUGAGUCGAUUGUUUGUUCCAUUUAAUACAAAAUUAAAGAAGGAAGCCACCAUUCACCAUGUACAUUUAGACCAUACUUUUGUAAAAUAAAGUCAUCUCAUGCUGGUUUGGUUAAUGAGUCAUGGAUUACAGCCAACUUAUCUGGUCUCUUACAAAUUAAUUUCCUUUGCCUUUGAAGAACACAUACACCAUGGAAACUGAUCUGAGUUUAGUCAUAGGUUUGAAGCCAUCCGAGUUUAUGUCAUAGGUUUCAUGGCUCCUUUAGAUUGAAUUAAACAAUUUUUUAUACUUAUUUAAACAUUUAACAAAGUCGUAUUUUACACUUAACACUUACAAAACUGAAUUUUUCAUAGUCUAAUAAAUUGGAAAAGAAAAUCUUAUCUUAAAGUAACUUGAACAUCAAAAUUUAUAACUAGACAAAAACCUUGAUGGUAUAACAAAUACUAACAACAAUGGCUGAAUUAUUUUGGAACACUACAAAUUGAACAACAAAAAAUGGAAUACAUAAACUUGGUGAAAUGAUAUUUGAUGCCCUCUUUCUUUUCAUAUUGUUUCUGUUCUCUACAUGUGGAAUUUUACUUGGCCACCCAAAAAGGCUUAGAAAGAAGGAACUGAUUCUUGAAGCUUUUACAUGUGGUCCAAAGGAAAAACUUGAGCUUCAAGUUGAGUGAAAUGAGGGCUUUGAUAGGCCUCUUGAAGAUCCUCAUCGUCAUCCAUCGAAUCUCGAAACGUUUCGAGAUUGUUUGAGGAAUUUAUAAUAGCUGUUACACACAGUUUCUUCCUCCAUUCCUCCAAAUGUGGAAAUCCGACGUUAUCCCCAUACCUGUCACAAUACUACGACAUAAAGAAAUCGGGUCAGAUUGAAGAAUCUAAUUUGAGUACAAAAUAUUUGAAGUUUAUGAUUAGUUUCAAUUGAUCGUGAUUGUUGCAAAAACACGAGUACCUCAAAUUCAGCUAAAUCAUGUGUGUUAUGCUUUGGGAUGCCAGCAAUAUCUUUCGAGUGAUAAAACUGUUUGAUGGAUUGCAUCAUAUCAUCAUAUGAUGGCAAUGUCCUUUUCCCAGACAGCAGUUGAGCUAUCCAUAUUGCUUGUGAUUCAAAGAAAGGGAAACCUAUGAGCUGCACACAACAAUCCUAUAUAAUUACUUCAACUUUCUUUUUCUAUAUAUUCUUUUAAGGGUUCCUACAUCUUCAAUAUUCCAUUCUUCUACCCUACCAAACAUUACAUAAUUGUAUAGAAAGAAACAUAUGCAAUAAUACUUGCUAACAAUCAUUGCAUAUGUUGGAAUAUUUAUACCUAAUAAAGUCAGUCAAUAAUACUCAACUACUUUAAACUGUUUUGAGUAAUUAAUUAUCCAAUAAAUAACAACAACAAAAAAAACUAUAUUCACAUCAUAUAGAACCUAAAAUAUUUUAUAAGGUAUAUAUCAUUAAGGGUAUAUUAAUCUUUUGCCUUAUAAUACAUAGCUUUCGCCUCUAAAUUAAAAAGUACUCUACUGUUUCUUUUGGGUAAAAAAUGCUCCAACUUAUAUACAUCAUUUCUUAAAAUGGACACAAACUAUUUGUACCAUCAAUCUCGAAUUUAGAAGUUUGAUUCCUUCCGUUUAAGUAAUUGUCCAAGAAAAGAUGUGAUGUUAUUACCUUUCGUGGAAUGCCUAUAAAUGAAAGUGAGGGAGCCAAGGAAGGGGGAAAUGUAUGCUCGUACAAAGGUCCCACUCGAUCAUCAUCCACAACAACUAUUCCUUUCGUGUCAAGAAAUGGAAACGCAUAUGAAUACCUACAAUACAAAAAGAAUGAUAAUCUAUACAUGUCUUAUCUAUUGAGCUACAUAAAUUAUUAAUCAUAACAUUUGUUUGGUAUUAAAAAUAGAAAGGUUAAUUAAAUAAUACCCACCCAGUGCAAUAUAAAAUAGUAUCAGCAACUAUAGAAGAUCCAUCAACAAACACCACUCUCCCAUCUUCUUCAAGAGAUUCAAUCUGCAAGCAAACUCAAAAAUCAGAGAGAGUAAAUUUAAUUUAAUCAAUUAUGCAUUAACUAAGUUUAUAAACAAUAAAAGCAAAGAAAAUGAUAUAACCACCUGUGGCUGAAGGUGCAAGUUUUGAUACUUUUGAAUGACUUUGGAUAAACCUUGAGUAACAUUGUCUAAGAAUUUUGUGCUUAAAUGAAUUUCCUUUGCCACUUCUAUUAGAUCUAGCGAUAUGUCUUGCCCACUUUGAGAGUUUCCCACCACCACCACUACCUGUUUGUUUAAUCACAACACAAAAGAUCAGUAAGACUUUGAGGCAAUCCAUCAGUAACACUUUCGACGACCCACAGUAUGUCAGGAGUUCAUAUAUUGAACUUAUAAUUAAUUUAAUAUUCAUUUUAGUUUUCGUAUCUCAAAAAGUUACCAUUUUAUUCUAUUCUAUUCGUUUUUUUUUUCUUAUCUUUAAAGUGUUCAUAAAUGAACAUUUGUUAAAAGUUUAAGAGAUAAAAUAGUACAUGAACCAAAUCGAACAUUUUAAGAGUAGAAAAAUGAAUUAAACCAAAGUAGACUGAUGAAAUAAAACCAUAUAAUAUAAUAAAUUUAAUUUUACCUCAUUGCAAAAUGGAUCAGGAACCCUAUAAACAUGACUAUGAAUUUGCUUUCUCUUCCAUUUGUCCAUUCCUUUAAUUCCAACAGAAAAACAACAACACAAAUUAAAAAGUUAGAUAAAUUAUAUAUAUAUAUGAAAAAGAAAAAGAACUAUUAAUACAUAUAUAUAGAUAAAUAUAUAUACCUUUAAUGGUAGGCAAUCUAGGAUGAGAAUAAUGUCCAUUAGCAACAACAACAGCAUCAAAAACUUCUUCAAUCAGAUCAUCAUCAUCAUCAUCAUCAUCAUCAUCAUCAUCAUCCCCAUUAAUCUUCUUAUGCUUAGACUUAUAAUCUCUACUUCUAACAACCCAUUGAAUAUCACCAGCAACAAUACUGUUUUUAUUAUGAUCAAUAACUCCCACGUAUUCAACUCUAGUAUUAAACCUUAUAAGUUGAUUCAAAUCAAAACAACGACAAAAAUCUUUCAAAUACAAAAACAACUCAUAAUGGCCAGGAAACCUCCUAGAAUCAUGCCCAAAUUUCUUAGCAACAAAAGGAAAAUCAGAGAAACCCAUGAUUUCUCUUGGAGAAGCAAUCCUUAAAGAAGAAUAAAUACUGCUAUGAACAUUAAGGAAUUUGGAUCUUCCUAAAGGAUGUUCAUUUUGUACAUUUGGAUCGUAUAACCAUUGGCCACCCACGUCGUCGUUUUGCUCAAAAACGAUAACUUUGUGGCCUUCUUUUCUUAGCUCUCUGGCUGCUACCAAGCCUGAAGCUCCAGCUCCAAUUACACAAACCUUCUUCAUGUUUGUACUGUUCCUGAAUAACUGAUGAUCAUCAACUUUUACACCAUUCUUUACUCUCUCUGAAACCAUUGCUUACGGUAAUAGGGAGAGAGAGAGAGAGAUAGUAUGUAAUAUUAUGUGAGUUUUUUUUUGGUGGGGAGAGAUUGACAGAGAGAUAGUGGGGUUUUAUAGUGGAAAUUUGGCCAUGUGGGCAGCUUCUUUUUUCUUUUGAAUUUUUUUUAAUGGAAAACAAAUCAAGACAACAAAUCAUUAUUGAUGUAGAUGAUUUAAUCUUGAAACAAAGAGAACACAAUUCAAGUUCAAAAUUUAUAUACAAUCCAAGUCCACCACAACAGUACUGUUGUGUAGAUGAUUUAAAAAUCUUUAUAUGUUGUUAGAUAACAAAUCAAGACUGAAUGACAUACUUAAACUGUUAUAUUAUAAACUUAAUCGAACUACGUAUAUACGUACUAAAAAUUUUCAAUUAUAUGAAAAGAUUAAAUUAGCAUAUGUAUAAGGAGAAGAAAGUUAUUAUAGAUUGUUGUGGAAGAGAAUUGAGUCCAAAGAAAAGGCAAUAAUGGUUGGGAAUGGGGAUGGUUUGCUAGGAAGGAGACACACAUGACCCUUCAACAAUCAUGAAACUUAGUUUAAUUUCGUUCUUCGUCCUGCUUCCAUACACUUUUCAACUCCCAUAACUUUAAGACUUCCCUUAGCUUUAAGUUAUACUGACCGACCUUCGAUAACAACCAAUUAUAUCACCCUAUAUAAUAUAUAUAUAUAUAAAUGUUACUUUUGAUGAUCAUCAUGUAUAUAUAUGUUCAGAAACUAUUUUAAAUUGUAAUGUAAUUGAUUUAAGAUUGAAAAACUUACUAUAAAAGUAGAUUGAAUAUAAUUAAUUAGUAUUAAUCUGUUUAACAUUGAAACAGUACUUCAUUGAUUUAAAAAUAACCCUAGAUCUUGGUGCACAUUUUUUAAGGUGAAAUUAGAAAGGAAGAAGAAGAUCAAAGGUAGUGGGGAUUACGUAGGAUUGAGUAGCAAUCAAUGAGCAGCAAUGCAUGGGAACAUAUAAUGCAUAAACCCAUCAUUUUUUCUUUUACCGACCAAACCCUAUUUCUAGAUUUUCUCAUUUUUCUUUGUUUUCCCCUACUUUAUAUAUGAUAUGAUGUGUGUAUCGAUAUAGACUUCGAGAUUUAUAGGGACGAAGAAGGAUCGAACAUUCCAACCUUUGAAACAAAACGUUAACUGAUAGCAUAGUUAUUAUUAAGCUUAGUUUUCACUCUAACCUUUAGAUUUGUCAUUUGUGUUUAUCUUCAUUCAAAUGUUAUAAAAUGUUCAAAUAUAAACAUAAGGGUCUAAUUUUAACAUACAUAUAAAUUGAAAUACUCGAUUUUUACAAUUGAAAGUUUGAAAAUAUAAUUGAUUAUAAUCAAGUUGGGGGAAGAGAAUGCCACUUCUUGAAGCUAAGGAAAAGAAUAAUAUGAAAGGUCAAGAGAUCAAAUUCAACACAAACUAAUUCCAUAUGAUCAUAUCAUUAAUUAUCUAUUUUUUCAAUCACAAAAAUUAAUUCCUUCUAUAACUUUUUAGGUCAAAUUCUCAUUUUAUAACUUUUCUUUUAAUCUUCUUAUAUUCCCAUUCUCUAACUUUGCUUCCAAAGCUGUUUUUGUUAUGAAUAUAUAAAAUUAUUGUAAAGAUACAUAUAUUGUUUGCCAACAUGAUUUUGAUGGGGAGAAAAUAUAUACACUUUUGAGUAUCUUAAAUUUGAUUUAGAGGAUGCAUUUGGGUCUAUGUGGAAUUUUCAAUAAUCAAAGUCCAUUUCUUAUUUUAAUUUGAAAAACACUAUUGUUAAUUAUAAGAUUUUACUAUAUUAUGAUUUUUAUUAAAAUAUAUGUUUUUAUUUUUUUUGUUGCUUUCCCAAAAUUUGUCUUAAUCAACUUUAUUGCACAAUUUAUUUCAAAUCAACUUUUUUUUUUUUAAUAAUUUACAUUAAAUCCAUAAAGGUAUGAAUUUGGUGUUUAAUUAAAAUAUAGUUUUUUUUACCACAACAAUCAUUGUUAUUUCUAUGAAACACACCUUCUCAAAAAAAAAAAUCUAUGAAAAAUACUUAACAAUGAAUUAGGUAACCCACGUGAAAAACAUACCUACAUACAAAAUAUAUAAUAAUAAACGUAAAUAUAAGCCGUUCGAAUAUAAUUAAUGGUGAAUGAUUCGAUCUUCGAACUAAAAAAAUCAUCCGUAUUAUUCAUGUUCAAUUCUUACCUAAUCCAACUACCAUAUCUUUAGUUUAUUUACACUCGACAAAAUUAAUUUUCUCAUUUUUCAUUCUAUGUGUUUAUAAAUUAUUAUAUAUUUGUAUUGGGAUUUGGUUGGAUUGAAAUAAAUUAAUCCAUUAAUUUGUAAUGAUUAGAUAAAACAGAACUUAAGAAUUGUAUUAAUAUCAUUAUUACUUUUUGAUAAUUAUACAUAUAAUAAAAUGUGUAGUAGUAGUUAAAGAAAUAUACACUAAGCUAAGUAAGUAUAAGGAGUGAAUUAUCAAUUACCCAAAAGAGUUAUUUCCCAUUUCAAAGGAAAGCUAUUUAUGGAAAAUUAACUUACAAGACAGCUCUCAUUAUAAUUCUAAACUAUAUAUAUCAUAAUUAUAACACCCAUAUACUCACUACCAUAAACCCUAAUUCUCACUUCUUCUUUUUUUUCUUUACACAUGAGAGGUUCUUCCAUUACUUUCAAAUUAAACCCUAGUUUAGAUAAGAAAAAACUAAUAUGAAUCACUCUUCGUAUAACCCAAUGAAUAUAUGAGGUUAGAAGUUAAUCCAUUGAUCUAACUCUAAAUAUCAUUGAACUGCAAAACUAACAUACGUGAUCGAAUAAAAAGAACCGUAAUCGAGAGGAAGAAGAAGAAUGGAAUUUGAUUAUUUAUUUAUUUAUAUAUAUAUAUGUAUUGUGGUAAUUAAGAAGAGUAAAUAAAAAGUUAAUUAAAUAGGGGCUUAAAUGAAAUUAUAUAUUCAAUUUAUUUGCUUUCCAAUUAUCCCAAAAAGAAGAAUCAAAUCCUUUAAAUAAUUUAUUUUAUAUUAAUUAUAUUUUUAAAAAUAAAAAUAGUUCAUCAUGUUUAUAAAAUUAUAUAUAAAAUAAAUAAAAGGCAGCUACUUGUGGUUAAUGGUGGGUGAAAAAGAGGGGAAAAAAAAGAAGAAAUUAAUUGUAAUUUAAUUUGGUUGUUGGGAAAAGAAAAAAUGAACAUAUUUGAUCCCUUAGAAGCAAAACACAAAUUUGAUUCAAUUUUCUUCUCUUUAAGCUUAAUUCACAUAAUAUAUAUAUAUAUAUAGAAAUUUAGAGAAAUGAAUGAAUAUGAUAAUUAUAAAAGUAAUUGAACAAGAAACAACCAAUUAAAAUGAAGAAUAAUGAAGGAUAGAUAUAUACAAUAUAUGAUAUAUAUACAUAUUGCCAAUAAUCAUUCUGAUCACUUUGGCUUCAAAUCACUUCUUUACAAAUUUCCCUUUACAUAAAUUAUAUGAUUCUUGCUUUUGACCUUCUAGAUUGUGUCUCAAGUCAAAAGUAGUUUUUCUUUUUUAAAAUUUCAAUAUUAGUAUAUAGUACUAAUAUAAAUGAAGAAUAUUAAUUCAUUUCAAUGUUUUUACACAUCAUUUUUAUACAAAACCUAAGUUUAUACCUUGACCCUUAUGUGUUGUAUGGUGAAGUUAAAUGUUUGGUAUUGUUUUGAAUGAAAAGUUGGAAAUAAUAAGUUCGGUACCUUUACGUAGAUUUAGGUGGAAAUUUUCUACUGAAAAGAAAGGAUAAUUUAUAAUUUAGGGUUUAGGGUUUGAUGCCUUAUUCGUUGAAGUUUAUGCUAUAGUACGAGGUUUACGAGUUGUAGUUUUGGCUAUGCAAUUUAUCAUUAGUGGGCGGAGUCGAAUAGCAUGACAAUGCGUAUAUUGACAUUAUGCAAAAGACAUGUCAAUGGGAGCGAAAUGAACCGUGAAAGAUGUUCAACUUAUGUGGUAUAAUUAGAGAUUCAGUUUCGUCACAUUCGACAAGAUUUCAAAAUAUAGUAGUUAAUAUUAUAGUUUCGUAAGACAACAAAUGAGAUAAUUCUCAUUAUUUAUGAGAUUACUUCUAUUCGUUGGUUGGUCGAGACGGAUUUACACGAUAUAAUAUCGUUGAAUCUCAACUUUGGGCCCAUCAUGGGAUAUGGCUUAUUGGAUCAAUAAACUCUAUCCAUGCUGUUUGUAUCAUCAAUCAACUCUUUUUCAAUAUCAAAAUAGAUCAAACCUUCCCAUUUGCUUUGAUUUGAUAGAAGAAGAAUAAAGCUCUCAAUAAUUUCAUUAAGAGAUUAUAAUCUCGCCUAGAAAGGUCAAUAUUCGAUAUACUUUUGGAACUCUUUCAGGAACAAUUGUUUUUUAGAAAAAUAUUGUUAGUCUUUUGUAUAUGAUAGUACUGUUUUAUUACUUUAUUUUAUUUGCAUUAAACAAACUUUCUAAGUUUUUCAUUUUGGUUCUGUCCCUGCUCUCUAAAGUUUCAAGUAUAUGAAUAUGAAACUUAGAUGAUUAGUAUACAGUUAUGAUAAUCUUUUGGUUAGUUAAUUAAAUUUGUCAUCUUGAUUAAUCUCACCUCAUUUUUUUUCAUGCAAACCAACUGUUUGCGGAAAUGACUAGGGAGUUUAUGAAACCAAAAAAUAAGUUGAAAAGAAAAAUGGUGGUUUAAUUUCAAUGGGAUUCUCGUUCGUCAAGUCCGAUUAGUUAUAACAUAUGCUCUAAAUUGGAAGAGGGAGAUUGUUUUGCUGCAACAAACGCGGGUUCUUUAUAACGUUUCAGCUCUUUUCGUCAGAACCCCAAAUCUUUUCUCCUAUCUCUCUGCAGCAAGAAAAUUAGAAGGACCCUUUUUUGGGUCUUCUCUUUUUUCUUUGCUUUUUGCCUUCUUGAUCAACGCCUAAAAUUAGGUAACUUCUCUUUUUCUGAUUGUUUUGCUUUUGUUUUUUGCAUUAUAUGAAUUAGGUCCGCCUCUUUUAGUAGUUUCUGGUAUAAUGCAGGAUUGUGAUCGGAAAAAAAAUGGAAAUUUUCUAGACAAGUUUAUUGGGUUUUCUGUGUUUUGAUCAUAAGAAUGGACAGUAGUAUCAAGUUACAGAUGGUAUUUCUCUGUUCUGUUCUGUUUGGUAUAUUGAAUUUUAAGGAGAUAUCAAUAGUUUGACGAGUUCUUUUUUUCAGGUUAUUGUGUUCUUUUUUUUUUUCUUCCCUAAAUGUUCCUUUCUGGAUAUUAGCACAAUGGAAUUGUAUUAAACCACCAAUUCAUCAAAAAGCUUAAGUCAGUGGUUGAAGGCAAAUUUAAUUAUAUAUCACCAACACAUUGAUUUCAUUAGAUAUUCUAGCUGUGUAUUUGUAGAUGGAGAAAUCGUUGAGCAGAGAGCUCCCUUUUGUGUGAUGAGAAGCAAGUUUUAUAUUCUCAAGAAUAUAAUAAUAAUGCUAAGAUCGUGGUUGUCAUUGUCUGUGUGGAUUGUUUUUCUUGGCUCUGAUAUAACUAUAUAUUCUCAAGAACGUAAUUUAUAACAUAUGAUCAUAGUUGCGAUUGAUUGUUUUUGUAAUUUUUUUUGCUCUUGCAGAUGAGAAUAAUUGGUUUUUGCUCUCCCCUGUAGAUAAUUAAAUGCCAAUUCAUAUAAUAAUACAGGAAUUAUAUGAUCAUGCCUGUGAUUUUUGUGUGCAUCAAUUGUUUUUGCUCUCGCUUGCAAUGAACAAUGAGAUGAUAUAACAAUCUAGGAACAAUCUGUUCAUAGUUGUGAUUGUUUGUUUGCCACGUUUUGUUGCUUUCUCUUGUUGUUAAGAAGCAAAGACACUUUUUGGUUUUCGACACCUGUUGGACAGUUGGACAGUUCAACACUUAUUGGAUUAGAUGCGAAGUCAAAAUAGAACCACAAUUUGCUAGACAUACAUCUCACUUCUUAUGUAUAUUAAAAUAGGUACGUGUAUGACAAAAAUAAAAUUUAGGAGCAAAAUACAUCAAACUAAUUUUGAAGCAUUUAAAUGCAUAAACUCAAUAACUUUGAAUUUUCUUCUCGUUCAAAACUGAUAAAUAUUUUCAAAAGUGUAUAUUUUAAUGAAUGUGUUAUUGUCAUGUCCGUGUUCUAGAUUUUUAAGAAAUGGCGUGUCAUUGUGGCUUUCUCGUGUUGUACUUGUGCUUCUUAGAUUAUGAUUGUGAUUGUUUUCUUGGGUUGUUAUUCACUCUCUUGUAGCUCAGAAAUACAAAUCGAAAUGCUUAAACUUUCUUCUAUCUUUUAAUCCAACAAUUAUCACAUUCUCUUUGUCUGAGUAAUUCUAAUCUCCUGCAGGGUUCUGUUCAAUAAUUUUUUCGUGUAAUGGCCAACGAGAAUAGUGAUAUACCACUUGCUAUGGAGGAGGUUAGUGAGGCUGAAGUUAGCCAAGAAGAGAGCUUUGAUAUCCCUGUCAUUGCAGUUGCCAAUAUAAGUGAGCCUGAAGAUAUCACCGAGGAAAUCAUUGAUAUAAUUGACAUCAUUGAUAUCCCAGCCACUAUAGAGGUAAAUGAGCCCGACAUCGUUGAUAUCCCAGCCACUAUAGAGGUAAGUGAGCCCGAGAGUUGCAAGGUAGAAGUUAUCAUGGACAUUAAUAGUAAUAUCCCAAAGAUCAGACCAAGGGUUCUCUCUCGCUACCUUCUACCCUACACAGGCUCCUGCCACGAUUUUUGCAAAUAUGGUUCAAAACAUGAUCUUGAAGGGAAGCCUGCAAGUCCAAUCUCGAGAAAAGCUAAGUUAGUUGGAGGCAAUGGCCAGGAUUUGAGGAGGACUGUAGUUUCUUUGGCGAAACAAAACAAAGAAUCAAACAGUCGGAAGUCCUCCCUGGAGUACAACCCCAGCAAUGUUACCGACUUGAAGGAAGAUAUAAUAUCUUCCCCAGAGAUUGUUACUCCUUCUCCAAAGAGGCUUUUACCUUCCACCAAGGAAGUACAGGCUGCAGCAGUGCAUUAUAGUCGAACGAAACUUAAUUUGUCUUUAUCAAAGGUGUCUUCUUUUGCAGGACAAGGCGGUUCACGAACCAAAAGAAAUAAAGAAAUUCGAAAAGGAAAGAAAAAAGAAGGAGAUGGAAGUUUAAGCAGUUCAAAUAGUACAAGUAGAAGCCUAGAGAUGAAUGUCUCCGCAGAGGAGGACAUAACAGCCUUGGUGCCAGAAGUAGGUUCUAGGACUCCAAGAACUCGUGUCAAGCGAGUUGCAAUUGCAGAUAAGAAAAACAUUGGGAGGAAUGGCUUGAAAAGCCAAACCCAUCCUAUAAAAUGUAAACCCGAUCCAUCUAACAAUGAGGAUGUGGAGGAGAAAACUUUGUACAUGAUUGAACCGUCUACCAAGGAUGAAACAGAGGAGAUCUCUCAGAAUAGUGUUCAUACAACCGAGUCAUCUCAACCACAAUCUUCAUCAACAACAGACAACAACUUGAAGCAUGAACAAGAAGCAGCUGCGAACUCCAUAGUGCCACCAAUGUCAGUGAAAAAGAACGUCGUGAAACGUGCUAGAAAUGGUACCAGUGCUAAGAUUUUAUGUACAUCUCCAACAGCAUCCAAAGUAUUCAAAGGUAUUAGACCUAAGAGAUUUGGUAUGGUUCAAAGGUCCGAGACUCGAUCAGCUCCUUCAUCACCAUUGUCAUCUAGGUUCCAAUCUGAACCCAUCCAUGUUGAGCACCGUGGCUCUACCUCAGGAAAUGAUGUGAAAAAAAGUGAGAAUUCAAAGGUGGACCACAGGCUUAAGACCAAAGGGAUGACUCUAACCGAUUCAGAAAAUGGAGACUGCCAGUCUAGAAAGCUUAAGUUUAGGAAGGGCAAGACGGUUGAACUUCAACCUGAAACCAGUUCGCCAAGGAGGCUCAAAUUUCGGCAUGUACGUUUACUCGGUGAGACUCAAAGUCCUAAAGGUGAUUCAAGGAAGAGAAACAUCAUGGGUAAAGAUGGGAACCAAAAUGGGAAGGAAGGUGAGAAUAGUUCUUUAAGACAGCAAGAUAAGGAUUUAAAGAAAAAGAGAAGCUUUAGGGAUGGUAAAUUGAUUUCUAGUAGAUUCAAAUCUGAGAGAGUUGUCCUUAGGCAUCAAGAUUCAAAAGGAAAGAAAGAAAUCCUAAAUCUGUUUAAUAAUGUCAUUGAAGAGACAGCAAGCAAGCUUGCAAAAACCAGAAAAAGUAAGGUGAAGGCUUUGGUUGGUGCCUUUGAAACUGUAAUAUCUCUUCAAGAUACCAAACCUGCUGCAACAACAAGUGUUGCAUGAUAUAAGUUUGUGUGUGACAUGACAUAUAUAUUAUAUAUACCUUGUAUGUAGAUAACAAUCUGAAAAAGGUAAUAUAAAUAUAUAUAUAUAUGUAUAAAGCUUCAAAUAUGACAUGAGAGUUAAGUUAAGUUAAAAAAAGAAAAAAAAAAAAAAAAAAAGCUUUGAUGGAAAUGCUAUGGCCUAUGUGGAGAAUGGUUGGGUUAUUUCAAUAAAAGCUUUUGGGAAGAUUGGUUUUUAUUUUUCUUGUGUGAUGAGGUUCUUUGUUUAUUGGGUCUUUUGUAGGAUCUCUUUAUGUAUCAUUAGUGUAUUUGUAAUCAAGGAAUUCUAGUCUUGUGCUUUUUCUCAUGCCAAUGAUUUUAAAAAUAUCAAAUUCUAAGCAACCAUUUUUUAACAUAGCUAUUUUUGGAGUCAAUCAUCUCAACAAAAAAAUCACUUACCAAGUAAUUCUAAAAAAAUCAAUUUCACUCAAUGCCAAUGCAUUAUAAAAUGUACUUAUUCUAUCAUGUAAUCGUGUUUUUACUAAGAAUCUAAAAUUUCCUAAUUAUUAAAACACUUUUUAUUAAUCUUCUUCAAUGUGUGGGCUUGGAUCUUAAACAUUUGAAGGUCGUUUAAGUUGUAUUACAAAAUGUUUGAAAAGGAUGCAUUUUGUUGGGUCAUCUCUAUUAAAAUUGCCAAUACUUGUAAUGGUCUUCUUUGACAAAAGAGUAUAUGAAACAUACUAGAGGAGAACGGUAUCAGAGAAUACGUUUAUGGAUUUUGUUUUAGUCCUAAUACAACGUAGCAAGGGUACUGAUUCAGAAAUGGUGAGGUGUUAGUAGAGAUUUUAGCCUUUGGCACAAGUCUAGAGGAUCAGGAUGAUGUUCAAAUUCAAUGGAGGCAUGUCAUUUGAAUGAGUACAACUUUGGCUUAAAUGCAUCGCCGUGGUACUUACUUAAGGGAGCCAUCUAUAGAGUUGGAGAAAAAGGAGAUAUCUACAAAAAUUCUGUUGUGGCUUUUUAAUGUAGAAGAUGAGAAAUUUGAAAAACUUUGGCUUCUGAUAGUUGGAGCUAUUUAGAAAUAUACUGCUUAGAUCCAAAGUUUUGCGAAGGUUUGACAGUUCGUGAGUCUCAUCACUUCCAACUCAUCAUUUCUUUUUUUAAUCUUGCAUGAUCCCAAGAAUGGGAAGUCGGAGAAACUUAAUCAAAUCGAGGAGGAAGUUCAGAAAUCUUUCUGCAUUUACAUCAUUGACUACCUCCAUUUCCAUUCUCUUCCCAACAUUUUGGCAGGGAUGCUGCUGCUGCUUGAUUCUUGUAUCCAUCCUCCUUUCUUGCUUGAUUUUUAUCUUUCAAUUACUUUUAUUUAUUUCUAUUGAUGCAUAUAAUUAAUUUGGACAGUCUCAUCUCCAAGUGGUUCAUCCAUUGGUGUCUGAACGUAAAAGAUUGAGAAAAUCUGUUGUUCUCCAUUUGGAGUUAAGGGACCAUAAUUUGAAGAAAUUUCUUGGAGUUCAACUACAUAUUAAUGAACAGAUAUUUAAUGGCAGACCAUAUCUAACAACUUAUGGUCAACAAUUUAAACUAAUUCGUAUAAAUAUUUGAUAUUUUUUAAAAAAAAUUGACCAUUUCUCAUAAUAUAAUUCAUUAAGAUUUAGAAACGUAUAUGCCAAAAUAUACAAAUUGUUGAGAAGUCAGCAAAUUUUCAGGAAGCUAAAUCGAGAAGCUAAGUAGCUUCACUUUUUAAAAGUGAUUUUGAUAGAUUAAUAAUAAUUUAGUUUGUAUGAUUUCCCAUAAUCACUUUCUAAACGAGGCUGACGCCGACGCCGUAGACUGCAUUGAUUUUUCUACCUUAGCUCUUGUUGUUAACGAUUGGUAUGCUUCUAAUCUCCAUUUCUGUCUUUCUUCUCAAUACCCGAAUAACAAAGUAAAACAAAAAAUAUUAUCCUUACGGAAAAUUGGGAUUGGGGUGUGAUUUGUUUGGUUGUUCCGAUUCCAUUUUGAUUUGUGGCAUCUGUUUGAGUCUUUGAUCAUAUGUAUAUUGAUCUCUUCAGCCUUAGCUGUAAAUUUAUAUGAAUUUAUCAGAGAAUGAGACAACAAGUAAUCCAGUUUCAUUCUCUUUCCAUUGAUUAUAUUUGUAUAUUUGUUUUCCAAGGUUGAAGUAGAUGGGGAAGAAGUGGAACAGCAAGAGCAUAAUAGAUUCAGAGCUUCCAUCCGAUAUUCUUCUCCAAAUAUUGUUGAAGCUUCAACCAUUUUCCAAUUUAUUCACUUGCAGGCUAGUGAGUAAAGUUUGGAACGAUUGCAUUUCAAGUUUUAAGUUUGAGUCCAACCUUUUCAUUACCCAAAUUUCUCCUAGUCGUAAUCGUAGACGUAAUCGUAAUCGCUUUGACUGUGUGGACUUGGAUCCUAAACAUUUUGAUGGGAUGAAUCUUAUUGGGUCAUUUAAGUUGCAUUCUUCAUGGUGCUCCUCCUCUACUGGAAUUGUCAAUAGUUGUAAUGGAUUUCUUUGUAUCUUGAAUACCAAACGUGUUGCAAUGUUAAAUCCUAUGACAAAUGAGUACAUGGAGCUUCCGAGUAGUACUCAAUAUGAGUUGUCCGUUUAUGGACUUGGUUAUAGUCCCAAGACAAAGGGGUACAAAGUAGGAAGACAUUCGUACAAAAAUGGUGAGUUGUUAGUAGAGAUUUUAGCAUUUGGCACAAGUUUGGAGGAUCAAGAUGGGAAGGUUCAAAGUCAAUGGAGACAGGUAGCUAGCAUGAGUACAACCUAUAAAAUGUAUCGCCAUGGUACUUACUUUUACAACCUAUAAAAUGUAUGGUACUUACUUUAACGGAGCCAUCUAUUGGGUUGGGGAAGAAGAGAAGUUUGAUUCAUCAGCAAAAAAUGUGUAUGUGUUGUGGCGUUUGAACGUAGCAAAUGAGAAAUUUGAAGAACUUUGGCUUCCUGAAACUGGAGCUAUUUGGAAACAUACUUCUUACUGUGGAGUGUUUAAUGGAAAAUUGUAUAUAAGUCAUUACGUGACAGCGGAUUCUAAGUACCAUGUGUUGAUGAUGAAUGGAAAAGGAUUGUGGGAGUUACCAUUUUUUAUUAACAUACCAAGGUUUUACAAAGGUUCAACACGUCUUGAUUCCUAUCACUUUCAACUCAUCAAACCUUGGAAGGAUGGAAAGAUUCUGUGUCUUUUUUACUCGUUUCUUUUAGUCUUGUAUGAUACCAAGACAAGGAAGUUGGAGAAACUACAUCAGGUCAAGGGGAUAGUUAAGAGAUCAUUUCGCAUUUGUCAAAUGGACUCCAUCCAUUUUGAUUCUCUCCCCAACAUUUUGGCAGGGAAUUAGUAUGUUGCUUGCUGCUCUCCAUGACUCUUGCAUCCAUCCUCACGUCUUUCUUUCUUUCUUGAUUUUUUAUCUUUCGAUUAAUUUUGUUAAUUAUAUGUUGAUUUGGACAGUAAUGGUUCAUCCGGGAAGGAAUGAGAUGUGGCGUACGAAUGUUGAUGGUGAGAAAUUUCUUGCUCUCUAAUUUGAAGAAAUUUCUUUGUGUGUGACCAGAUAUUUAAUCACAAAAUGAUUCAAAUUCUUUAAGGAUUAUUAGAUUCUCUCUUGGAAGUAUUCUUUUCAUUUCUUCUCCCCCAACAUUCAUUUUGGCUAGGGAUGUUACUACUUGAUCAUUUCUUAUUUCUUGUAUCCAUUCCACUUUUUUCAUGACUUUUUUUAUCUUUUAAUUUUGUCUGUGGAAUCAGAAAAAUGUAGAGGAUGAAUCUUAGGGCGAGUUAGGCCUUUCUACUUUUUUUUUCUAUAUAUGUUUACCAUAACUAUGGAUUGGGCCGGGAUGAACAUGAUAUUGAGUUACGUUUCAUUUUAGUUACUAAAACAUAUAUAUCUAAUCUUAUGUGAAUUGUUAUUAUCGAAAAUAUAUUGCACUUAGUUUAUUCUAUUUAAUUCUCUAAUAGAUUUGUAUAUUAAAAUAAAAAUGUUACCAUAACACUAUACCCUUGAUUUGAUCCCACACAUUUACAAAUAAUUUUAAAUGGGGAAUCGCUCCACGAAACUUUUCCAAAAGGUCAUAUCCUCCCCAUGUGUCAUCCUCAGUGAAUGUGUAUUCCUCAAACGAUCAAGAAAUCAUAUUAUGAUUAUCUACCCAACACUAAAUAGUAAAUGAAGAGUUGCUUGGUAAUGGCAUACAUAUUUGAUAUUAUAUAACUUACAAUUUGACAAAACAAACCUCAAAAAGAGGUGAGACCUUUAUUACUACUGUUUGUAAACAGAUCAUUUGCAAGUUGGAGCUUCAAAAUUUGGGAACACUAUAAAAGCAAUGGACAAUGGAGCUAUAACUAUAGGAGAAUUCACAUCAUUAAGAACAGGGUUUAGUUGUGGAAUGUUUCCAUCUUCAGUCAGUUCUAAUGGGAUAUCAUUUAGAACCAUGGUUUGGCUUUGAAGGAAACCAUCUUUUGGAGUCAAGUGGUAUUCUUCUCUUGAUAUGGACAAAUCUGAUGCCUUGUUUCCAACCCAACUUACUGUUUUCUUAAUCCCUUGCAUGAAAGAGCUCCCUUUGUGAACCCUCCUCAGCUUUAUAGUUAAGCUGUUCCGAACACUGACUACGAAACGUGUCUGAUUGCUUAAAUUAAUAAACAGUGCAGUCACACCAGCCUGCAACAAGUUCACUUCAACUGUCACAACAACUUAUAUUGAAAGUUGAAGGUAAACAAGAAGAAAUCGUAACCAUAGAGAUACAAGAAUAAGACAGGAAAACAACAAUGAUUCAAUUGCAUCCAUCCAAAGAUGUAAUGUAUUUUGCGAGAACACAUAAACUCAAUGAUGAUCAUUGGGAUAGGCAUUUAAACCAUGUUUCAUAAGGAUUAUAGAAAUUCGAGAUUUGAGGGUAUUUGGGGUGGAGGAACGAGGUAUGCUUUAGGGAUUAGGAAAAUUAGCCAUUUCACAACUUAGGCAUGUCUUUACAUGUACAAGCUCACAACCUAAAGCAGUCGCAAAUUUCAAAGAUAAGAUAAGCAGAGCAUGUAUCAUACAUUGCAAAAAUUUCCAUAGCUUGUCUCUAGUUAUGAUUCAUAAUAACUUGGUAGAUAGAAAAAGUAUUGAAGUCUUACCCUUUCUUUUGAGCAAUGAGCAUAGGAGCGUAAAAAGGGAGAAGCAUCACUAUUGACAUCAAGAACACCUGUUCCCAUAAGCCGAUGCCACAGUAGUGCACUAUUCAUAAAAGAAAAAGAUUUCAGGAUCUGAUGGAGCUGAAAAUGAAAGUAAAAAAACUGACAGAACCCUUCCAUCACUUUCCAAGACAAGAAAAAAUUUCAAUUUCUAUAUUCUUGCCUGUAGAAAUCUGGAUUUGGCACAAAUGUGCCAGUGUUUAGAAGACCAUAAUUUCCACCAAUUAGUGUUUGUCUACAGUAGACCUUUGUUCUGUACUUGGCAGCCAUACCCAGCUGAUCUAGGUACCUAAGUGAUGCAUCAAACACAAGAAACAAAGGAAAAAAAAAACUUUGAGACACUUCAUUUUCCAGGAACAUGAAACCACAAGUUGGAAAAACUAGUUAUACCAAAAAUUACCAAAAACUGUUGACAAAUGUGUUGGAUAUAUUACGGCCACCACUGUUGUAUGCCCCACCAGAUUCCCCAAUCCAUGCAGAAGCCCAUGGACCAUAUGUUUGGAUGGUUUGAUCAAGUUUGCUGAAUGUUUCUGAUACUCUGCUAAGGUAUUGGGGAUCAAGUAUCUUUUUCACUAGAUUGGGAUCGAUACCUAGAUUCCAGAGAAUAAGAUAUAAAAGGAAGAAAUUUAGAAGACAAGAAAAGUCAGUGGCAAGUGUUUAUGAUCCCCUUAUGAAAAGGUUGAAGGAUUACGUAAAAAUGAAAAUGAAGCCUACACAUACGUAGCAAGAAUGUUCAAUAUGUUGUUCUCCAAUUGUCCAUUUGAAAUAUUAUUACUAUCCUUUCAAAUCCUCUUUCAAAGGAGCUGGUCCUUUACCAUAAGAUGUAUUAGGGGAAAAAGGAAAAAGAAAAAGAAAAAAAGGAAGUAAAACCAGAACUAGAAGUUGGUUCUAUAUUAGCACACCUGGACCCAAGUUAUAUAUAUGAUGGGUGAUGACAUCAACGACAUUCGAUCCUGAAACCUGGAGAAGUUUUGCAUACCAAUCCUGCUCAAAAAAUCCUCCAGGUGCUAUAAGUGACGGUUUUGAGUUGGAAUCUUGGUACAGCUCGUUGAUGAUGCUCUUGAGUCGUAUCAGGUCUUUUCCAUACUGAACAGCACCAACACUAGCAGCAACACCACUUCCACUCAAUUCAUUACCUGCAAUGGCAAAAAGUCAUUGACUUGGUUCCGGGUAACAAGCUUGAUAAAAACAGAGCACAAAGUUUAUGGUAUAUACCAAAUUCCCAUGACUCGAUCACAUAUCCCUUAGAAAUUGUGUACUUCAUAAAAUCACGAGCAUUACUGGAGUCCCAAUCUCCACCCCACUGAAUCCUACCAAUCUUGUGCCUCCCAUAAAGGGCAUUCAAGCCAAAUGUCACAAUGGCUCUGAAAUCAUAAGAAAUUAGAAAAGAACGAGAUGCAAAAGCACGUAAUCAAACAUUCAACUGUUUGCUGAAAUAAGAAGGUUAUUCUACUUUCUUGUCUAGAGAAAGUUCUAUGAAGUGUAUACCAGACUGCAGGAAUACAAUGCUUGUGGGAAUGUGCCAUGUUAGCGUAUUAGUUGAAGAGAGAAAACAGUUGAAAUGAUUAUACAUCAAUCAAACAACACCAAGUGCAUCCACAACCAGCAAAAAAAUUGAGAUUUUUGAAUGAAACUUUAGGAAAACUGAAUCAACUAAAAUUUCCCUACUAAUACCAUUUUACCUUCUUCAAAAAAUGUAUCCAAUUUACUUAUAUAGGCCUUAAGAAAAAAGGUCCUUUAUGCAUAAGAUUCCUCAUUUCCUUGUAACUCCAUCUGAAUCAAUUAAAAUACUAUAUAUUUAUUCUUUAAACAUGUGCGUAAGUCUCCCUUGAGUAGAUACUCAUUGUGAAGGACAUUUAACUUUUGAUCAAAUCAAGGACAAGGACAUUUAAGUUUUAAGAGAGCUGGUAAAGAUUAUAGGGAUGCAAAAUGAACAAACCUUACCCUGUCCUGGAGAAUAAAUGGUUUAGCUCAUCCCACCGAUACAAGUGUAAACAUCCCUUUGAGAAACCAAAUAACCCCGAGCUUAUCUUCUGAAAUGGACGGCAGGGGGUUUUCAAGCUUUCGACAUCAUACAAUACUUGGUCUUGUAAAGAGCCACCAAUUCUGAUCCUUAAAUUAUGGAAAGCUAUUUCCAAAAGAACAAGAACAUCAAUAUUAUUUGGAGCAAGAAAUGAUCGAUAGUAUCCACAUGAAAAGAUCAGAACAAACCUUGAAUUGCCUUGGAAAGAAGAGGAUGAGAGAGGUUCUGCAUAAGAAAAUUGAUUUGCCAUUUACAUAAAAUUGAGAUCUAAAAAAUAAACCAAUUAAACUAAGGCAAUUCGCAUCGACAAUCAUUACCAAAUUAAUGACGGAUGAGUACCCCCAUGGACAUUGGUUGUAAUCACACUUAUCAUGAGGCCACCAAUCCAAGGUAGCACAGAUAAAAUUAUAGUCUGUUUCUGCAACUUUCUCAUUAGCAUUGAUUAUAAUUCUGGCAUGUUCUAUGUCUUGAGCCCAGAUAGCAGGUAGAGAAACUACAAGGAGAAGCAAGAAGGAUCUGACAUCCAUCGCUUGGGCAAUCGAUACGGUCUCUCACCAGCUCAACAAAACAUACCGACUGACAAGAAUCAAGAACAGAUGUAAUCAUUUAAUCUUUGAAAGAUUAGCACAACAAAAGGAUUGAAACCACAGAACAAUCCUUUGGCGUUGCAGAUCUGGAAAUGAGUAACUUUGGGAAAAAAGAACGCUAUCAAGAAAUUGAGAGAACCAUUUUGACCAAACGGGAACACUGAUUGAAGAUUACUUUCAGCUAAGAUAUAACGAGGAUUAACAAAACAAUAAUUGAAAAGCAUAAUCAGAUUCAAAAGGCUUGAUCCAGGUACAACUUGAAACUCAAGAAAUUAUAUGUUUAUCCUGAAUGAUGAUGCUUUUAACAAUACAGUAUUCUAACACCCUUCCCCUUUUCCACAGCACCAGAAAUUUCCAACACGUUAAGUAAACUAGCAAUGCUCUUCGCAUUUGCUACAGUAUACAUACAAGAAUCAAAAGUGAUUUCAUGCUCACAUUUUUAGAUCCUUUUUAACAAAAACCAUUGAAAAAAAGGGAAAAAAAAAGGCUAACCCAACCUCAAAUUCGAGAGAUUUCGUCAAUAAAACAAGAAAAUGAAAUGGAGAUGGCCUCUGAAGCAAUUGCCACAACCUGAAGUCAAGAAUUUUUAGCUGAACCACCAGACUUUCCAAUUCCUAUCUUGGACUUUAGGCCACUCCAACAACUAGGAAAACCAAGUUGCACGUCAUGGGUAAGCCUUUGAUACACCCACCCAGGUUAGUAUUUCAACAUAAAUAAGGAGAAGCAUCAAACUAAUCAAGAAUUCAGAAGGGUAUGUGUGCUAAAUGCCAAAAACUAAAAAGAUGGGCAUCUUUUUAGUCAAAAACAAGUCACAGUUUACAACUAAUGAUACAAUACGAAGAAGAUAUAGUGAUAAAAUAAUAUAAGUAUAUAACAUCAGGGUAGUUGAGAUAUCAGAAUGCUUGAUGAAAUGGGUUAGAAGAAAAGUUUGCAUUCAAAAGUAAAGGUAAAGGGAAAGGCCUUCACCAAAAUCCUUGUGCUCUGAGAAGAAUAGUUUCUGAUUCUUAAGGAAAAAUACCCAUUUGGGAUCUUCUUCACAUGAUCUUCAAAAGCGUUGACGAUGGCUUUUCACUUCAGUUUUAGCAAUGAAGAAGCUUCAUAGCUUACUGAGAUAGAUAAAAUGAAGAUUUUGGUAAGAUGAUGGGUGUUCUGUCAUUUCAUCGCAAUCCGUGAAUAUCCUUCAAAAAGUAAUACCCACCGAAAGAAAAAUAAAGUUUCAUCACUAAAUUUCCCGUUGCCCUGCUGCCACCAACAUUCAUAUAAUUACAAAUAAAACAAGAAAUUUCCAUUUCCUACCAUUUUUUUUUUUUUUCACUUUCCACUGCUCCAUAACUGAAUCCCAAUAUCACAUAUAGUUAAGGAAUAUGGUUAUCAUUAUCCCGACCACUUCUGAACAUAUAAUAUUCGAUAGCGACUAACAAUUCUGUAAUUAUGUCAUUCAUUAUACUAUAUUGAAAAAAAAAACAUUUUUUUAUCGUUACAAAAUUCGUCAUCCAUGUUCUUGACUUGUUCUUUAGUUUUCAUUUUCAUUUUUAGUUGAAUAGAAUUGGGUUGUUCUUCAAGCUCUUAAAAAUUCUAGCUUUUGUUGAUUAAAUGAUUAAUACAAAAAUUCCAAGGUAGAAAGAUAUGAACUUUUAACACAAUUAAUCAAUAUUGCAUCUCAAUCGGAAUCAUGUUCACAAAAAUAAGAGAUGCAAUUAUUAAAGGUAUUGUCUCUAAAAAAAAAAGAUUUUUCUUGAUGAGUUGUAAUUGUAAAAGAGGGUAGAGACAAAGGAAAGAAAGUGGGGUUGGGAUUUUUUCCAUUUUAUAGAAAAAGAAUGUGAAGAAGUGUAUUAAAUAGUUAGAAGAAGCUUAUAAAAUUGAGUAUUAGAUUUAUCUCCAAGAAAAGAAAUGAAAGAGUUGAGUGUUAGAUAGAAAUAGAAUAUUACUUUCAAUUUUCUAUUUCCCCUUUUGGUUGUGUCAAAUGUAAUUUAGUUUUAGAAAGCUUAAUUAAUGGUCAAACUUUAUUAUGUAUUCAUAGCAAUCACAACCAAUGCAUCAAUGCACUAGCUAAAAUGUUACAUUUACUAUUACAACAUAUGUACAUGAAAUCAUAUUAACAAAUCUAUUCCAUCUUAGUAUUCAUUUGCCCAUCGCCGUAUCUCUACGUUUGGAAUUAAAAGAAAAAAGAAAUUGAAAUCUCUUUUUAGAAAGUCAUUAUACACAUGACCUUGAGAAAUUGUUAGAUGUUUAUUGUUCAUGCAAUAAACCAUUAUUGCAACCAUACACGUACAUAUCAUGGAAUCUUAGAAGUGUAACAUGUCAAAAGAAUGGUAUUUUGUCACAUACUAUAUAUAUGUGUUGUUGUUAAUAUGUGACCAGCUCAUUGUUGUCUUUAUCCAAUGAAACUUUGCUCUUCAAACUUCACUCUAUGUUAAUGGGAUUUGAAUAUAAUUUUUAUAGCUAAGACUUCAAGUCGUCUGUUUUUGAAUUUAAUAAGAAUUAUUUGAGAACUAUUUAAUUUUCUAAUGAUUUUCAUCUCAGAGUCAUUUGAAUUUGAAUUUAUAGUCUGCUAAAAAAAACAAAAUUUUAAAAACUUUCACCUUUUAGUUUGCAUGUAAUAUCUAUAUUUCCAUUGCCAUGUGAUAAUGAGAUAGAAUCUGCCUAUUCAAGUGUGUUUUAUCAUCGACGGUAAUCAUGAAAUUCAGUGAUAGCACUCGAACACUCAAUUAAAACAAAGUUAUUGAGAAACAUAAAAGAAUAAACAAAAGCUAAAAAAAGAGAGAAAAAAAAAAAUACAGAAGAGGAUACCUCAACUAUGAGGAGAAGUUUCCAAUCCAAAAGAAUGGAAAUUGCUUUUCUUGAAUAUCCUCGACAGCAUUCCCUCUGUGAGGAACAAGGAAUAACUACAAGUUUAGCUUUAGAAAGAGGAUAUUCUUUCAAUCUCUAAUGUCUCCUUCCCCAAACUUGGCUGACUGCUUUUGGGAUCAUGAAACAAAGAACUUCAAGAAGAUGGCUUUUUGUUUUUGCUCAGAUGGGUUUUCAAGGGAGAAUGACUGGCAUGUUCAAAACAGCCACUUACUUCUCAAUUAAGUCUCAUUAUCAAAUUACUAUUUGUGUUUUAUGUGUGGGGAAGAUGAAGAAGAAGAAAAUCCCUUGCUUCAUAAUGGAGUUGUGUGCAAACAAGGCAUUUCCUUUGCUUCACAACUCCCCUGUGUAAAGAUAGAGAUACUGAUCCAUAUAAACUUCAGAAACUGUUGCAGAAAAUUGAAAGAUAUCAAAACCAAACACUGUUCAUUGUGAGCCCUUGUUCAGAAAAUUAUAAGCUAGAGAUUUCGUCAUAUGGAAACUUUGACUAGUCAAAGAAGGUAUAGUUUUUCUCUCUAUUCCUAUAACGCACUUUGAACAUUUGAUGUUUCUUCAUCAGUUUUUCAUCCAGUUCAUCAUUUACAGCUCAAAAAGUAUUAAAAGGUAAAAGAUAAAAGAAGAUUAAAAUGACAUGACUAUAGUUGAAACAGAAAAGUAACCAAAUUAGAUCAAGAGUCAUGAAGCUUAGGUUCUGUCCUCUUUUAUUUGAAUAUUGAAAGUAAUAUGAUCUUUGACUGCCUUGUAGAGUGAGUUUUUCUGAUUCAGGACAACAAAAAAGGGAUCCUACUGUCAAACCUAGUGACGGAAUUCCACAGAAAAAAACAUCUUUCAAAAAGGGUACUGAUAUGAUAUUUUCCCUGCACCAAAUUUAAUCAUUUGACAAACAUAAUGGAAAGCUUCCUCAGCAAACUACUGCUAUAACUUUAAAGCAUUUUCAGUUUUCAUCCAUGUGAUUGUAGUGCAAAAAACUUAUUACUCCCCUCAACUUUCCAGAUAAAAAGGAGUCUAAGACGUUACAAUGGUAUUUUUCAAACCAAACGAAUGAGGAUUAUGAUUCAAAGGAUAUAGAGUUUGCAACUGCAGUUGCAUCAGCUGCAUUAGCAAUUCGCUCUCAAGAAGAAACAGAUUUACAAUAUCAGAAAAAAAAGAGAGAAAGCGUGGAAGCCUCAAUAACAAAGGUUAAAAGUAGAAAAGAUGGCACAGCUGCACUUGCUCCCAGCAUGACAAGGAGAUUAUCCAAAAAGGAAACACAAACAACCAAUCCUGGUAAAUUCAAGUAGAGCUUAGAAAUUUCUUAUAACAACUUCUUCUCACAAAAAAUAUCAUGUUCAUGUUCACUACACUAGGUCAAUCUUCAAUAAAGAAGCCAAUGGGGCAGGAAAAGAGGGAAUCAGUGACUGGAAUUCCUAAACCUCCGGCACAGCCUAGACGAAGCCUCGUACCAACUAGAGCAGAUGUGUGGGAGAGAAAUAAGAUGGAGAAGAUUAGUAAAAGGUAUAUACUAAAUACCAAGUGCUUUAUCAGUUCAAUAUUCUGUUUGCUGCUGCAUCCAUCAAUCUUCAGAAGUUGACCUCAGUUGCAGGUUCUCUAGUUCAUGAAGCUCAUGCACUAGAUUUCUCACCUAAAAUUUGCUUAUCUAGAUCUUUUCAUUGAGAAUCUCAUAUUUCAGGUAUCUGAAGAUAAAAGCUUCAAUUCUUGCCUGGGAAAAUGAGAAAAAAAUGCAUGCAAAACAUCAUAUGGAAAAGAAAAAGGUAUGUCCACACUUUCCCACACCUUUUGAAUGUUCUCUUUUAAGGUCUAUUAAAAAAAAAUUAUGUUAAUGAAGGCUGAACUGGAGCGCAAAAAGGCAUUGUUCCAGCAAUAUUACCAGGAAAACAUUGCACGAAUCGACCAGAUUGCGGGGGGAGCAAGGGCACAGCUGGAAGAGAAGAGAAAAAGGGAAGAGAAAAAAGCAAGAGAAACAGCCAACAGAAUCAGAUCAACUGGACGACUUCCUGUGACGUGUUUCUGCUUCCAGUGUUACUAAGAAUGAGAUUUGGUCUUGCGAACACAGAAACAUGAAAUCAUGCAACUCCUAUUUACUUACAUUUCAUCUAACCAGUUCUAAUCCAAAAUCAAUAUCAAGUCAUUGUGGUGUGGUGUAAACUGUAUCAUUUGCUUCUUUCUUUGUGGCCACAAACACUCGAAGAAUGAUAUAUCUCAUUGCAUGUACAUAGAUAAGCACAGCUUUAAUCUUCUACAAAUUUUACAUGGAACAAAUGAACCAAACACUUCAAACAAUAAUCAUGCAUAAAAUAAUGGAAGAAAAAAUAUACAAGUACAGAGUUUUUAACAUAUUUAUUAUUUAUGCUUUUCUCCAUCUAUACCCUCUAUGUGUUACAGAUUCUAACACAAUUCACCCUUUCUGAGAUGGGUUUAGCUUCAACCGCGCUAGAUGACAAUCUAUCUCUUUUUUUUUUUUGUUUUGUUUUUAUAUCCGUAAGUGUCCAGGCCAGCUUACGCACACCUCGACUAAUCUCACAGGACACCCACCUGACUCUACAACAUUUAGGUGUUAAGGAAAUCCGUGGAUCAAACCUAUGACCUCUAAGUUAGUUUUUGACCUUUUUAGCUCUAGGCCAACCAUGAUGGUUAUCUAUCUCAUUUUUAUUACAGCUUCCACUGUUUUGAAAGAUUGGGGAGUCUCGUUUUACUAAAUUUUCUUCCCCAUGCUUCCAAAUGUUCAUACUUCACUCAAGUUUACAAAAAUCUUAAUGGCCUUUAACAAAGUUCAUUGGCAUUGAUAAUUCUAAUUUGAGCCAAAGGAAAGAUGCAUGAAUCAUGAUAUGAGAUCCUGGUUUGAAUUUUCCCCACCAUUAUACAUAAGUCUAAAUUCUAUUCAUCCACAAGUGCAAACAAUUAUGCUCUAGGAUUUAUAAUGCAUUUAACUGUUGAUCCAACAGUACCAAAGAAGUCGAAUAUGCAAAAUCCUACGAGAACGGAAAGUAAUACAGGAUUUUCAGCAUUCACUUAUUUAUUUUUAAAAGUUACAGCAAGUUUUUGAUUUCUAGUUGCAAAUUAUAUGGGAUGAAUCAUGGAAAGGAUAAUUGAAUCAACAAAACUUGUGAAAUUCUAGCCAAAAACCAUAAUAGAUAGCUAUGAGCAAUCAAAUUUUAGAAAGGAAAGCAGCAGAUGAUCAGGCAGAGUAGAAUGAUAUCACAAAAUAUUUCAAAAUUUUAAAAGAAAAAGUCUUCUUAGGACAUGUUACUUUUCUUUCCCCAAGUAUUUCUAAAUAUUUACAACCAAAUUUCAAGAUUCUUCCAUGGUGAAAAUAAAUCAGAAUCUGAGAAGAAUAACACAUGGUGAGGUUUCUUAAUGGGUGAACAAACCUGUCUGUUAGGAUAGAGAAACCAUACUGAAAAUUGCAACUGAGGGACCCCAACUACAAGGCCAGCUUCAGUGAAAUAGACAUUAAACUAUGUUUGUCUAAUCCGUCAUUCUUUCAGUAACAAAUUUCACAAUCUGCCACCAUUUUUACCAACUGAAAGGUAAUCCAUGACGUCACAUCUGAUUUUUCCAUGAAUUGAUCAGCAAAUGUGAACCUCCGUACGCAGAAGUUAGAGAAAAUCUAGUGGUCAUAUCUUAAAUUAUCAUUUUUAAAUUUCUAACUAAAACAAAUAAGCAUGAAACUAGUCCACAUAAACUCUUAAAAAUGUUUUGAAGCCAAAACUGAAUAUCACACAAGAUAAAUGGGUACAUUUCAUUUUUGGUGAAUAUGCAAAUAUGUGUAUAAGAUACACCGAAUUUGAUUGGGGUUUGUUAUAUUAACUUCAAAACUCCCAUCUAAUCUAUCAUUUAUGCUUCAAGGAAUAUUUCACUUACAAAUAUAGAAUACAUGUUCUUAUGGUUUGGAAAACUCUUCAACAACUCUAAACGCAUAAAUGCUAGUACAUUAAUGCAUUCAGUGAUAUCACAUGUUUGUAUCCAAUAAUUUCCACUGUUGGAUGAUUUAACAAUCUCCUAUUGAGGGCUUUUUAGGCACUAUAUGUUUCACAGCAGUGCAGCUCAUGCCAUUAGUUAAAGAAAAACUCGAUAGAGAAAAAAUGAUGACAAUGACAACUUCUAAACAAAAUUGGAAGAGACUCGAACCUGUGGUGUCAAGUUACAGCCUUUAGUCUAUUUAUUCACCUAACUUUAUUAAAUGCUCCCACCCUACUUUGCAUUGGAAUAUGUAGAUUCAUUUCACAUACAAAAAAUCAUCAAAGGAUUGCCUACUUUGCGACGCUAGGGGAGAACUAAAGAAACCAUUCUGCAACAAGUACGAAAGAAUGGGGAAUAACAAGGAACUUAAAAUGAUUGUUCUUAAUCAUUCCCUUUAAAGGGUACCUUGCAGAAUAAAUCGUAAAGAAAGUUUAUUGCCAAAAUUCAAGUGAUCCAAAAUGAUGUUAGAGAAAUGAUUAAAUGAAUCAUGUUUCUUUUGUUAUUUGUUUUCAGCUUCUCCUUUUUUAACAGAGGAAUAAAAACAUUUUCCUAUAUUCCUAUGUAUCUACACAAUAUAAACAGAGAACAUAAUGAUUGUUCAAUGACUUAGAAAAGGACAAGUUUUGGUUGAAGCCUUUCAUUUCACUGGAGUCUAGACGAAUGGGAUGCAAUUGAUUAUUUCUACAAAGAAAAAUAAAAGCUUCAAUUUUGACAUAAACAUGGUCCCUUUAUCAAUCAGGUUUACGGUUCCAUUGAACUUGAGGGGUUGAUAAAUCAAAUAGGCUUUGGACCCUCAUAAAAGACUUGCAUGGCUACCAUUGGAUAAGUACAAAACUGACAAUUGUAUUAUUAAAUAUAUAAUGUGGACAUGAUUUGAAGGAGUUUGUACGACUCCUACUAUUGUGAUAAUGAUUUGAAGUAAAUUCCUAUGCUAUCCAAUUAAUUCCACUUCCUAUACUCACACCCACCAGAAAUGAAAACUUCUCUUUCCAUCAUUCUAUUCUUCUACCCACUUUAUGAAUCAUAAAUUACUCUAUUUACAGAUUGCAAUAUGUUUGUUUCAAGUUAAAAAUUAGAAACAGAUGCAUACAGUUACUUAAAUUGUUCAUCUCCUCCAUCUUAUGGUAUUCCUUUGAAGAGGCUCCUUCACUUCUUCUUUUUUACACAGGUAGUGAAUUUGACUAGUGUGUAAUGAAGGAAAAAGAGAAAAGCUUAACAAAAUAAAAAAGAAAGAAAUAUUACCACACUCAGCAAUGAGGUGUCUCAAGUUUCUGGUUGCUGCCACAAGUAAAAGAGUUGUUGUAAAACCUCGUGUUCAGUGGCUAAUAUUAACACAAGAAAUGGACCAGGUGACAAGGAUAUAACAGAGUGUCCAAAGUUGAACCCUAAAUCUCCUGUUCCAUUUGUUUAUGUGUUGCUUGAGAGUGGAGAGAGAGAAAGAGAGAGAGAGAGCCUACAUGAGUCAUUGUGUAGUUCCAAAAUGGAAUCUGAGCCACGAAAGACAAGUGCAAGUCGAAGAAGAGGAAGAAAAGAGAUCUUUUCACGUGCCUGCUGAGAAGAAUCAACACAGUACCACCACUAAACCUCUUGUCCCAUUCUACCAGCAAAUGUAAAUUAUCGCUUUUGUUUCUACAAAUUUCAAUUCCUUCAUGGAAAGUUUUGAAUAAUUUCUGAUGCAAAAUAAGGAGGAAAAAAAAAUAAUGCUCUGGCUGGCUUUAUCAAAUUUCCUCUUGUUGAUUGUUACUUCUUGAUGACAGCUUCUUCUGCUCUGCUUUAAUAUUCAUCCAUUUGCAAACAAAAAGUUGCUUUUUUCCUCUUCCCCUCUGAAGUUUUUUUCCUUUUUAUGUACGGUUCUUAUCCAUUUCAACCCCUAUUCUCUGAUGCCAAGGACAUUCUUGUUCUUUUUGUCAGUUUUUCCUUUUCAAGUUCAGGCUCAAAAUACUGCCUUUCUACUAAUAAUUUCUUUUGAUUCUUUUCCCCUCAUUAUUAUUGAAUAAUUUUGCUGUACAAAACUCAGUUCCCUUUUCCUUUUCCUUUUUUUGUUGAAAGGUUAGAAAACCCUUUUUCUUCCUAAAAAUCCAUGAAAGUUGUACUAUUUUCACUUAAAAACAUAUCUUAAGCACACCCAUUUGGUAUUCUUACUUACUCUCUUCUUGAACAUUCAUACAAGUUGCUAUCUACACGAACCCAAGUUACAAAGCUGGAUUUUUUUUUUUAUAUAUUAUUUAUGUCUUAUUCAGGGCAAAGCAAGGAAUUACAGAACUAACCUGGCAAAAUGGGCAACUCGCUCUGCAUGGGAUUGAUGGGCUACAGCCAACAAUCCCACCAAAGCCCACAUGGAACCGAGCCAAUGACACGUUGGAGUCCGUAGUCAAUCAAGCUAAACUCCAAACUCAAGGCCCAAACUUGAUCCAGCAAGGCGAGCCAGUGGUUCAUACUGGCCGCACCCUCGCACCCUCUGGCGCGAAUGGGAAAUGGGUUGAGAGGGGGAACAACCAAGAACCGACGGCGAGAAAAAGAACACGAUCAACUUCCGAUUAUGGUGGGAAAAAUGUCAGCACAAGCAACAACAAUAACAACAACAACAGCAAUACUAUGCAAGUCGACCACGGUGAUCACAGUGUGUGUGGAAGUGCGAGUGCAGCGUUUUGUAGGGAUAAUGAGACUACUUUGAUGACAUGGGCUUCCUUCGAUUCCCCCCGAAGCUUGAAAACUAAAUCCAUCGAUGAAGAUUCUGCUUGUCAUGUUGAAUCGGUAAUCUUUAGUUUUGUUGUAAUAGUUUUUCUUCAUUCGAAGAGUUCUCAAUGAUUGAUUUUAACAUUUAUGUUCAGUACAAUCUUCAUUAGUUGGAUGAAAUGUGGUGCAAAAUGAUGUCUAGAGAUUUUCUAUUUUCAAUUUGUUUAGUUCAAUUGAGCAAGUGAUUUAAACCAUAAGUUUGUAGUUAUUAAUUGAGUUAUGCUAAACAAUAUUUGCCGAGAUUUCCAAAAUUACAAUAUUUUAAUAUUUACGAUGAAUUAAAGUUUACGAAAGAUUAUAUGAUUUGGAAAAGAUUAUCUACAAUCUCAUUCUUUGUCCUGGACAAGAUCCUUCCGAGAAACCCCAAAAAAUAAAAAAAUAAAAAAAUCGAUAGGUUGAGUGUACGAUGUAAAAGUAAAAGUUAAAUUUGUAGUUGAAUCUUGGAUUGAUCUCAGCCGAAAAGGACCCAAGAAAAUUAUUCAACAAAUUCUUUUAAGAAGCUAGUUUUGAAAGAUGAAAACUAUAUUGCACAGUCAAGCUACCAACUGGAAUGUUCUUUGUUUCGGAAAAAAUAUGAUGAUUUGUAUCUUUGAGGAUGUACAAAACAGUGGCCAUCUCCAUAAGCCUUGCCACUGGAUUAGUUAUAAUUUUACAAUUACGUUUUUGUCUGUUUCUAGCCUUAUGAUUUUCAGAAGUCAAGGUAACUUGUAAGAAUAGUCAUUGAGUUGUGUUUUUAACUCUACUGUUAUACUUGAUAAGUGGCAAGGUAGAAAAAGAGUGUAAAAUGGCAUGUACUAAUACUAAAUUUACAUGGUUCAGGAAAAUCAAGAGGAAGAACAAGAUACAAAGCGUGUAGCGAAUCGUUCUCAUUCAGCUAGACGAAGUCGAGCUGCUGCUAUACAUAAUCAAUCAGAACGGGUAACAAUCUGGUCUCUAAAACAUGGUCGUUAUUUGAAAGUCUGCAGUAUUCUUGAAAAGUUUUAUUGUGGAAGUGGUAGUAUUUAAGAGAACUACAUUAUAAAAUCCAUGCUCUAUAUUAUUUGCAUAGAGGAGGAGAGACAGAAUUAAUGAGAAGAUGAAAGCCCUGCAGAAGUUGGUGCCAAAUGCAAGCAAGGUAUGCAUGAAUAUCUUCUUUUUGACAUUCAUCAAUAUAAAAACUCAAGAUUCUCCGUGUAGAAGCCGUUUAAAUACUACUUGAUAUGAGAUUGACUAGCUUAACCUAAUAAGCAUGGCCACUUUAGUCCAACACACAUACAUGACAAUAAUAAUAAAUUUUGAGGGUAAAAUACAUCAAAAUAAUUUUUUAAACAUACAAGUGCAUCAACUCAUUUACUUUGAACUUUCUUUGGGUUGAAAAUAAUAUAUAUCUUAAUAAAUGAGUCCUUAUUGUGUUAGUGUUCUAGAUUUUUGAAAAACAGUGUGUAGUUGUGUUCAUGUUAUGUCUCAUAUUUGUAUCUGUUCUUUUUAAAUCCUAUCCAUUUACCUGUUCUAAAUUUUCAAAUAUUGAUAUCUUAAGACUCUUUGUGUUGUAUGCAAGUUUCGAGUCUUUGCACCAUAGAGGUUUUGUAGUGCUAAUGUUGAACUCUAUAACAAUUGCUUAAGGCAGACUGAUAAAGCUUCAAUGUUGGAUGAGGUAAUUGAAUACUUAAAGCAGCUUCAAGCACAAGUUCAGUUCAUGAGUGUGAGGAGUAUGCAACAGAUGAUAAUGCCUAUAGGAAUGCAGCAACAACUUCAAAUGUCGCUCCUAGCUCGUAUGGGCAUGGGGGUUGGUCUAGGCAUGGGAAUGGGGAUGCUUGACAUGAGUGGUAUGGCACGUUCAGCCCAGCAAACACUUCCUCCACUCAUCCAUCCUACAUCCGUUCCCACUACACCUCCUGCAUUUGUUCCGCCACACUUCUUGUUACCCCCUUCAAUUCCAAGGCAGGAUCCAACACAAGCCAAGCCUGCCACCAAUGGCUCUGUUGAUCCAUUUUGUGCCUUUCUAGCACAAGUAUGGGACAUUGGAUUUUUAUACCCUUCUUUGGUUCUUGUAUUCUUCUUUAUAUGUCAUAAUUUGUUCUUUUUUAUUUAUUUAUUUGUUUUUUUUUUGUGCAGACCAUGAAUAUGGAUAUUUACAACAAAAUGGCAGCUUUCUAUCGCCAACAAGUUAAUCAGACAACAAAUGCAAUGAGCAGCCCAACACAAUCAAACAAUAUGCAAGGAAGUUAAUGCUUUUGCUAAAGGAACUCAAAGAUUGGAUAAGAACAGGAGCACUCGCACUCAACUUUAUUUGUUGAUAAGUUCUAUGUUUAGUUGACAAGGACUGAACUUUGAAAAUAUCUGUAUUUCAUGAUUUAUUACGAGGAAUUAUUGGUAUUGGAUUAUGUAAAAACAUGAUCUUGCAUUAUUAAAUAUUAAAUUUCUCAUGGUGUAUUCAUGUUUGAAAUGAAAAGAGAAGUGAUGCCAAGAUUUUUCUAUUGUUUUUUCUUUCUCUUGAUCGUUAUUUAAGGAACAAUCAUCGUUAUCAGAUCACUUCUCAACUUAAUUUAGCAAAUUGAAAGAAUCUUCUAACCGAUCUAAAGAGUAUCUUAGUUGGUUGCCUAACACAAAAAUCAUUAUAGAACAUAGAGAUGUCUUGAGCUACACACAUACUGACUUCUAUUACAAAAAUUAUUGGAUAAUAUGAGAGUAUUUUCCAUAGUUAUGUUAUUUUCAUCCUGUUGUUUCUUAGAGAGAAUGAAUAUAUUGUACUUACAUAUAAAUAACGAACAGCAGUACCUAAACCAAUUAAAUAACAAAACUAUCAACCUGUUUAUCCUAAAGAAAGAAUUGUCCUUGGUUUUGUUUGUUUAUCAACGUCAAAGGCAUACAUAAUGUUAUGCACAUGGUCCAUUCCAUUCAGUGACAAACCCCUCUGACUUCUCCAAAUUAGAAUUUUCAUUUACUUCUCACAUCCCUGUCCUUUUCAACUAGUUAUACCAAUCUCUAUCCAAAUGAAUAUGAUUGGUUUUGACUUUGUCCCCUCUAUUAAAUACAAUAAAUAGUUAUGAGAGUAAAUAAAAUUAUAUUGCAACAGUUAGAAUAUGUAUAUUAAUUUGUUUUCCAACAAAUUCUUCACUUGACUUUGACCCAUAGCUGCAAGAGGUUGUGAUUAUGAUUUGCUAUGUUUAAUACCCAAAGGACCACAGAAAAGGAGACCCCUUUUAGAUAUGGUAAUGUAAAAGUAAAACUAUGAUGAUCAAAAUGAAAAAAAAAAGCUUAAUUGAAUUUAUUGUAUAGGAACAAGUCUAUGGAAAUGAGAUCCCAUUAUGUGGACUGUGGACAAGCUUUUCUUCUGUCUUAUAGGUUUGAGACUAAGAAUGGGAUAUUGUGUAAUUGUUGAUAGGCUAAUGAGAUGUCAGUGAAGGAAAUGAAGGUCGUGGUGUUGGAUUGAAGUCUGGAACUUCCCUAUUCCUUUCAAGCAGCAACGUUUCCAUCAAAAUCUUGGGGAGAGGAUGAAAAUGGAUGGAGUCUGAUUUGAUAAAUGCAAACAGAUUCAAAAAAAUAACCCGACCAAUCCGGAUUAUCCAAUCCAUGGGUUGAGUUAGAAAAGUGGAAGAAAAAAAAUACUUGGGUUGGGUCUCACGUUGUGCAAAUAAUGGUGAAUUGACCAAAUCCAACCAACCCGAUUAUGUAUAUAAUACAUAAAUAAAAAAACCCUAACAUAUGUCAUGUAGUCAUUGUUUCAAAUCUAUGCAAGUAAUCGUAGAAUUAUUUCUAAAAGGGUUUCAAAUUUAAACAAUUGUAUCCACGAGUUCUUAUUAAACUAUAGAAAAAAUGCUUGAAAUUUAAACUAUUCUUUCUUGACCGGUAAACGAGUGAAAAUUUGAAAAACAAUAUAAUUUAAAAAAACUAACUCUACAAUCCAACAUGGCCUAAUCCAAUUUUUUUGAAUUGGGUUGAUCGUUACAUAUCGGUUCAAUUUUAUACAACUGGAUUAGUUUAGAUUAGUAUAUAUUUUUUUCCCCAACCCGAUUUAUGUACACUCUAAACAGAUUUGUCGAUUGAAUUUAAUUCUUAUUUAUGUAAUUUUGGUAAGAAAGGAUAGGUUAAAUAAAUAGUGGAUUUUGUACAUAGGUAAUGAAUGAACUAUACAUGUACAUGUAAUGUACAUUCUCAUAUAUUAUAAUUGAUAUACAUAAUAGUAUACAUCCAUAUAUAUAUAGUAUUAUGUACAUUACAAUCUCUAUCCCUAAGCUCUUCCUCCACACAUGGCAACUCCGUCCACCUCUGAGAUCCUCUCGCUCUUUCGUUCUCUCCUGCGAACCGCCCGUCAAUUUCCUGAUUACAACAUCAGAGAAUACAUCAAACGCCGUACCAUUGAUUCUUUCCGAGAAAAUCAGACCCUCUCCGACGCUUCAUCCAUCUCCUCCGUCUACGCUGGCGGCAGAGCUCAGCUCGAGGUUGCCAAGCGCCAGGCCAUUGUUUACUCUCUUUACGCGCCUAAGGUCAAGAGUAUCAUGGAUGUCAACCAUUGAUUUCCAUUUCUUUUUUUUCUUUUUCUUUUUUUAUGGUUCGAUGAAUUUGUAGUGUUUGACAAUUUUUGUGAGGAUUGAACUGUAAACUUACGUUCUGUUGUUAUUAAUUAUGAGCAAAGUAUUUUCCAUCCCAUCCUGAAAUUCUCUUGCGAGUUUAAUUCCGAAAGGGAAAUUAGGGAUUUUUUUUUCCCUUUUCGCCAAUUUAUCCAGUCGUAGGUAUGCAUUCCUGGGUUUCUCUUCUGGGUUUUAAUGAAAUAAUGUCCGAUCAUCCAAUUGAAAUUCAGAAUGUUAAUGAAUCAUGUUUGGGAUAUGAACGUUAUUACUUUGGAGAAAUACUUUGUCCAUUUCAAUAUUUAACUCAAUAAAAAAAAUUGGUUGCUUUGAGGUUGAAUCUUGCAACUGAUCUUUUGCAGGACUCUUAUGAUUUAGCUGAUACCAUAAUGUUUUCAUACGUAUCCUGGAAUAGAAUUGAUUUGCCAGGAACUUAUUUCACCUCGUUUGAGCUCAUUUCAGCUUGAAAGUAUGAAGAAUACUUGUUUGCUUAAAUUUAAGUUCUUUAUAAAGAAGGCAUUGUUGCAUCUUUGUUCGUAUCACUUUAGACCGAUCAGAACUUGGAUCAUUAAAAAUUCCCGUGUUCGAAAAUGCACGAUUCUAGUUGAUUAACAGUUGGUAUACAUGGCUCAAGGUGAAUUAUGCUUGGAACUAUUGAAUCAGUGCAGUUACUUUCUAGUACUAAUGAAGUAUUUAUUGAUCUCAAGUAAAGGAAAAUGUCAUCAAGAACAGGGGGCAUAAUGAUAUGCCUCAAAGCAAAAAGAAAACAAAGCCAAGAAAACGGAAGAUGCAAAUAAGCAUCAGCCGGCCAACUGCAACAGUGAGGACCUUGAACUCUAUUUUCCAAGCAAACGACGACCGCGUCGGUUGGCAUCUUUAACUCGGUCACCAAGCACCUCAACAUCAACAGAAGCAUGAUCCAGAGCAACGUUCUGCCUGUAAUAAGCACAACAGCUCAUCUCAAUUUCCAAUAUAC